rnacentral:rRNA from 1 species
UUUAAAGUCUGGCCUGCCCAAUGAUUAUUUGAAUGGCCGCAGUAUCUUGACUGUGCAAAGGUAGCAUAAUCAUUAGUUUCUUAAUUAGGAGCUGGAAUGAAUGGUUUGAUGAAAAAUUAACUGUCUUUUUACUAUUAAUUUAGAACUUUAUUUUUUAGUAAGAAAGCUAAAAUUUUAUAUAAAGACGAGAAGACCCUAUAGAGUUUUAUAUUUUAUUUUCAUUAUUUUUAUGUUUUGUUAAUUGAAUUUAGUAUAUUUUGUUGGGGUGACAUAAAAAUUUAUUUAACUUUUUAUUUUUUUUACAUUGAUUUUUGAAUUUUUGAUCCUUAAUUUGGAUUAUAAGAUUAAAUUACCUUAGGGAUAACAGCGUAAUUUUUUUUGAAAGCUCUUAUUGAUAAAAAAGUUUGCGACCUCGAUGUUGGAUUAAAAUAUAUAUUUGGUGUAGCAGCUAAAAUAUUGGGUCUGUUCGACCUUUAAAAUUUUACA